rnacentral:rRNA from 1 species
GGGAUAACACCUGGAAACAGAUGCUAAUACCGGAUAACAACACUAGACGCAUGUCUAGAGUUUGAAAGAUGGUUCUGCUAUCACUCUUGGAUGGACCUGCGGUGCAUUAGCUAGUUGGUAAGGUAACGGCUUACCAAGGCAAUGAUGCAUAGCCGAGUUGAGAGACUGAUCGGCCACAUUGGGACUGAGACACGGCCCAAACUCCUACGGGAGGCAGCAGUAGGGAAUCUUCCACAAUGGACGGAAGUCUGAUGGAGCAACGCCGCGUGAGUGAAGAAGGGUUUCGGCUCGUAAAGCUCUGUUGGUAGUGAAGAAAGAUAGAGGUAGUAACUGGCCUUUAUUUGACGGUAAUUACUUAGAAAGUCACGGCUAACUACGUGCCAGCAGCCGCGGUAAUACGUAGGUGGCAAGCGUUGUCCGGAUUUAUUGGGCGUAAAGCGAGUGCAGGCGGUUCAAUAAGUCUGAUGUGAAAGCCUUCGGCUCAACCGGAGAAUUGCAUCAGAAACUGUUGAACUUGAGUGCAGAAGAGGAGAGUGGAACUCCAUGUGUAGCGGUGGAAUGCGUAGAUAUAUGGAAGAACACCAGUGGCGAAGGCGGCUCUCUGGUCUGCAACUGACGCUGAGGCUCGAAAGCAUGGGUAGCGAACAGGAUUAGAUACCCUGGUAGUCCAUGCCGUAAACGAUGAGUGCUAAGUGUUGG